rnacentral:rRNA from 1 species
UACAGAGGGUGCGAGCGUUGUUCGGAAUUAUUGGGCGUAAAGGGCGCGUAGGCGGUCGCGUAAGUCACCUGUGAAAUCUCCUGGCUCAACUGGGAGCUUGCAGGCGAAACUGCGUAACUGGAGUGUGGGAGAGGUGCGUGGAAUUCCCGGUGUAGCGGUGAAGUGCGUAGAUAUCGGGAGGAACACCUGUGGCGAAAGCGGCGCACUGGACCACAACUGACGCUGAGGCGCGAAAGCUAGGGGAGCAAACAGG